AAAAAGGCAAACCCUGGGUUUGCGUGUCCAACUUUGACUGUUCGUCUUAUAUGAAAUACUUUUAUAAUUUGUAUUUUCAUUGUUGUUAGAUGAUAAAAUAUGAUUAAUAUUUUAUGCGUGACUUGUCUUUUUAAUUUUUUUUAAAAAAUUUUCAAAUAAGACGAACGGUCAAACGUUGGGCACGGAAAUCAGGGUUUGUCUUUUU
rfam:Oryza glaberrima chromosome 9 Oglab09_0183_11, whole genome shotgun sequence.